GCGCCUAUAGCUCAACUGGAUAGAGUGUCUGACUACGAAUCAGAAGGUUGGGGGUUCGAAUCCCUCCGGGCGCG
rnacentral:tRNA from 1 species